CCUACGGGGGGCUGCAGUCGAGAAUCAUUCACAAUGGGGGAAACCCUGAUGGUGCGACGCCGCGUGGGGGAAUGAAGGUCUUCGGAUUGUAAACCCCUGUCAUGUGGGAGCAAAUUAAAAAGAUAGUACCACAAGAGGAAGAGACGGCUAACUCUGUGCCAGCAGCCGCGGUAAUACAGAGGUCUCAAGCGUUGUUCGGAAUCACUGGGCGUAAAGCGUGCGUAGGCUGUUUCGUAAGUCGUGUGUGAAAGGCGCGGGCUCAACCCGCGGACGGCACAUGAUACUGCGAGACGAGAGUAAGGGAGGGGGAACCGGAAUUCUCGGUGUAGCAGUGAAAUGCGUAGAUAUCGAGAGGAACACUCGUGGCGAAGGCGGGUUCCUGGACAUUAACUGACGCUGAGGCACGAAGGCCAGGGGAGCGAAAGGGAUUAGAUACCCUUGUAGUC
rnacentral:rRNA from 1 species